CAGCCGGCAAAAUGGCGAAUGUGGCGAACCGGAAGUAAACUUGAACUAAAUCGUCGUUUCACAAUUCUAUAUUUUUCACAAAUAAAAAUUGUUUCUGAACCCAAUUUCUAAUAUACUUUAAACUCAGUGUACUAUUAACUCAUCAGUGAUUCAGUUUAAAAUACUAGGAUUAAGUUUAAGUGUUCAAAUUUUGGAUUCCAGUUUACCAGCUGCAUCAUGUCCAAUCAAGAAGAAACUUUACCUGAAGGUUGGGAGGCGCGCAAAAGCCGGAGCACAGGCUUGACGUACUUUCUGAAUAAGCAUACUAAAAAGUCUCAGUGGGAUAAGCCAGACGGCCCGGCUCCGCUCGUGGAUGAUCCGGAAGAUGAUGAUUCGGCUCCGAAAGAAGUCCGGUGCAGCCAUAUUUUGGUGAAGCACGUUGGAAGCCGUCGCCCUUCUUCGUGGCGUGAGCAAGAAAUCACACGCUCAAUUUAUCAGGCAAUGGACCUUAUCAGAGAUUAUCGCCAGAAAAUCGUGAACAAGGAAGCCACCUUCGAAGAAUUGGCCAGGGAGUUCUCCGACUGUUCGUCUGCCAAACGUGAUGGUGAUUUGGGUUUCUUCAAAAGAGGGCAAAUGCAGAAACCAUUUGAGGAUGAAGCUUUUUCUCUGAAAGUUGGACAGCUAAGCCACCCCACAGAAACUCAAUCUGGAGUUCACAUCAUACUUAGAACUGCUUAGACAGCAGCCUUAAAGUUUUUCUGUAUGGUUCUAUAAUAUCCCAUAUAGUUUUGCGAGCCAUUCAGAAAAUAAUAUACAAUGUGUGUUUACUCAAUUAGAUGAGCUUGCAUAAAAUAUAAUUACCAUUAAAACCACAUCACCAUCUCCACCUUAUAUUGUAAGCCUUUGCCAAGCGAAAGUGAAGUUUAUAUAUUAUUGAUUAAUAUAAAUUGUAUAAUUAAUUAAUGUGUCAUCAACAUAGAUUGCCAUGGUUCACAUAAUUUCCGUGUAAGAAUAAGUCUUUAAUUCGGCAGGUAAUUAGUUGCUGUCCCUUUGAUGGGUAAUUCAGAUUAUUUACAUUCAUCCAUUGGGCAUUGGAUAACUUUACAAUGUUUAUUACCUACUACCUACAAAAUUCUUUCAUUUGUCAAUAGAAUAUUAAAAUUAAAUAAAAUAUAAAUGUAGUUGAAACCUGCACAUCAUGAAUAAAUAAACUAAAUUUUAAGUCACCUUGUCAGAAAGGUAUUCAAUCAGAGUUGUUUUUGUGUUUUGCAUUUCUCAUUUCUCAUUUGAGAUAAAGCCGUGCCCCGACUGCGUAAACAAGGUCGCAAAAUAGUCUGCUUUUCAUUUAUUCAUACAUUGCUUAUGCAUUCAGUAAGACGUUUAAUAUUUUAGUGGGGCAAGAUCUCGUUCAUACCAAUAACAAAAAGUAAUCGAGAAAUAGUGGUGACAUGGAAGUCUACUAUAAUGGGCGUAUAAUGCGAAAUUAAAUGUCUUUUAAUCAGUUUAUCUCUUAGCGAAAAACAAUUACAAAAUUGAUCCUGAUCUUACAUCCAAUGAAGUUUUUCCUAAUGCAAAGUUAAUGCCAAGCUGUAAAAAAUAUUGACUAUAUUAACUCAUGGUUUUUCAUUGUUUAUGUAUGUACGUACGUACAAAAAAACUUAUAUUUGGAAUGGUACUGUUGUGUUUAAUAUAAUAAAAAUCUUGAAUCUUACAGAUAACACUAUGAUUUUUGUUUGCUCAUUGUUUCUCUUCAAUAAUGGUCUAUGAAUGUUAAAAUCUAAUUCCAUUUACUUAUAUUAUUAUGAUGAUGUAAUGUGACGCCAUCGGUUCAAUAAUACAGGAUAUAUGGAAAGGUGGUUUGAGGAAACUUUCGGAAAAUAUAAUUCAUGCUUUUGAAUUAAAAACAUCUUAGAAAAUGCAGCAUUAUUUUUCAUAUUAAUUCAUGUUGUGCAUGAUGUGGUACCAUCACCCGAAUUAGUGAAAAAAACUUGAUCUAGUAUACAAAGUAAGUGUUAGUCCUCACAUCUCGAAUUAUGUUGUGUACUUAUGGCGUGUUAGGGUUUACAUUAUUUUAUUUUAUUUAGGCAAGUGGCAUUCUGUAUUCUAAAAAAAUUAAAUUUAUUAAUUAAUGAAAAGUAAACUUUUAAUAUUUCUCUGACGCAUUGAUUGGGGUUUUCAAAACCCUAUUAAAAUUGACUUGAUCUAAGUUCAUUCCUAAUUCAUAAAAGUGUUUUUCAUACAUAUAAUUAUGUUUUUAAUAUUUAUUUCUACGAAAAUUAAUAAUAUGCAGAUGGUAGAGGUAACUUAAAUAUUAUUACGUUCUUUAAGAAAAUUUUUAUAAACUUUUUUAUUAAACACAUUUACAAUAUUCAAAGGUAAACCAUACCAUACUUCGACCAUGACUUGGACGGCAUACCAUUAUGGUUAGAUACACCUUUCUAUAUUGUUUUAGUAUUCGGGCUUUUGACUUAAAAUAAGUAGUUUGUAGAUUUAAUGUAUUAAAUCCAAGUAUCAAUGAACAUUAAUGAAGUUGCCAAGUUGAAAAAAUUGUUAUAUUUAUGAAAGUUACAGUCUGAUCAUUAUUCUAAAAGUGUUAUUCGCGUUAGAAACAAAGUGUUUGGCCAAUGCACAGUAAAUUUGACUGGACUGCUCCUAAUGAACCUAAAUCCUUUUUUUUAACCGACUUAAAAAAAAGGAGGAGGUUCUCAAUUCAAGUUUAAGUUUUUUUUACACGUUACAUUCCAACUGAAUUUAGAUAACCAUUGUUUUAGAAUAAUGAAAGUUAUGAGAGCAAACUAAAUACUCAAAAAUUGCUCUAUGAAGUAAAAGACCUUACCCGGAGCCAUAAUUAAAAUUAUGUAGAAUUACUGUAUCCUAUAGACAGAACAUUGAUUACAACAUAAUAUUCAGUCCAUGUCAUAAAGUUAUAAUACAUCAAUGUAUAUUUCAACCGUUCUUAUAAGAUCGUGGUUUUGCUUAAUACAUUUUCAUUAUUGUGUAA